AAUACGUUUUUGUUUCCAAAGAAGACCUCAGCAGUGACAUCAUGGUCGACUGCUGAUAUUAAAACCGAUUUGCAAAGUCUUAAAGAAAAGGCACUAACUUUGCAACAUGAAAUUAUGCUUAGAGAUUCUUAAUGCUCUAUUUUUUCAUUGCAUUCUCAAUAUUGGAAGUCUUAUUAAAGUGAUAGUGAGAUUUUUUUUUUAUUUUUAUUAUUUCUAGCACAGAAGCGAUGAAUGCUGCAUAAUUAAGUACAGUAUUUAAUUUGGCUGUUGUGAAGCAAAAGAAUAAGGUAAUAAUUUUUAUUGUACUAAUCAGACUCAAGAUGUUCUCUGUGUUAAUUGGGUUAAAAAAAUUGCAGUACUUAUUAGAAAUUCUAAUUUCACAAUGCAGCACUGACAAUAAGCUCAGCCAGUGAAUUAUUCACAUCUUUAAUUUGCUCUCUUAAUGACAGUGUUCUGUAAUCAGAGUGCAGAGACUGCUUCCUAUGCAUUAUGUAUGAUGUUCAGGACUUAAAUGCAGGACAUUAUGAAGCCUCUCAGUGGCUCAGUAAUUAGUUUUCCACAAGACAGGGCUUAGAUAUUCACAGAUAAAAGUCUACAGUUGAGAUAAUGUUAAGGUGGUGACUCAUGCUAACAAAAGCAGGGAAGUUCAAAUUUAAUGCUGAAACUACUCUCCAUUCUCACUCAUUGUGCUUAGGUGCAGGGGGAGGGGAAGAAAGUCUCCAAAACCAGCCCGGGAUGAGCAAUGAACAUAAGGCUGUUACUAUCAGCACUGGUGUAUUUGCAGCGAUGCCUAUCAACAUCCACCAGAGAGCAGGGCAGCUCCAAAACCCACAUCUUUCAUGCUGUGGAAAUUGAUGGAGACAGCAACACAGCCAGCUUCUUGGCCAAACAACAUGGAAUGCAGUUCAUUUCAAAGGUCAGCGCAUAUUUAAACUUGCUUCAUUACUCCCACCUUUAUGCUUGAGAUUUUCAUUUUUUUAAAAUCAGUUUACCUAGAGGUUCCUUUAGAGACAGAAAAAUG
rnacentral:lncRNA from 1 species